ACUAGUCUGAUGUUACUCUCUCUCAUCACGGACACACAAUGAGAUCCGAUUGUUCCUAGCCUCCUAUUUUUUCACCGCAUAAAAAUCCCAAAAAGAAAAAAAGGAAAAAACAUUUUCUUUCUUUCUUACUAAAAUUAGUAAAAUGCGUGUAAUAGUAGAGGUGUUUUGCUCUUAAUUAGGAUUAUUAAGAGAGGAUUGAUGGCAGUAAUUGAUGCUUAACUCUACAAUCUUGGUUGGAGAUCUCUCGCAUGGACCCGAUCUUGACCCUCAAUGGCUCUGCAAACCCCUCGCAUUUCCUUCUUCCCAUUUAUUUCGCUUUUGGUUUCUUCCUUGCUCGCUUCGUAUUAGACAGAUUCAUUUUUCGAAAGCUGGCCAUUUGGUUGUUGUAUAGUAAAGCCAAAGCUAUUUCAUCAAGGAUUGAUGAGGCAACGAUUGUAAAAUGCUCAGAAUCUAUGUGGAAGCUGACAUACUAUGCUACUGUUGAAAUAUGUGUUCUAAAAAUUACCUGCAACGAACCAUGGUUCAGAGAUACAAAAGAGUACUUCAGAGGCUGGCCACAUCAAGAAUUGGGGUUUCCAAUAAUGCUUUUCUACAUGUGCCAAUGUGGAUUCUACAUAUACAGUAUUGCUGCCCUCCUUAUUUGGGAAACUAGAAGGAAAGAUUUUUCUGUGAUGAUGUCUCAUCAUGUAAUUACAGUUAUACUGAUUGGAUACUCAUACAGUACAAGUUUUUUCCGGAUAGGAACGAUUAUCUGCGCUGUGCAUGAUGCAAGUGAUGUAUUCUUAGAAGCUGCUAAAGUUUUCAAAUAUUCUGGCAAGGAGCUUGGUGCAAGCAUUUUAUUUGGGCUGUUUGCCAUCUCAUGGGUCAUACUACGACUGGUAUUCUUUCCCUUUUGGAUUAUCAAAGCAACAAGCUAUGAAUUGGUGGAGUUUUUGGAUUUAUCACUAGCCUACGACAAAUUACUGUACUAUGUCUUCAAUACAAUGCUGCUGAUGUUACUUGUUUUCCACAUCUACUGGUGGAUCCUGAUAUACUCAAUGAUAAUGAGACAGCUGAGAAACAGAGGAAGAGUAGGAGAAGAUAUAAGAUCUGAUUCAGAAGAUGAUGAAUAGGCGGGGAUGAAUUUGAUCAACUCUUUUGUUCUCACCAGUGGCACUGAGGAGAUUAGCUUGACUUAUAUGUAGGUUUGUAUCUUCACUCAAUUGGUUUUUACCAAUCAGCUGUUGGAAUGCUUUUCUGCUCUUCUCUGCUUCUGUCUCGUGUCUCGGCCUUUUUUUGUUAUCAUCUUGGGCUGGAAAAGCCAUUCCGUCGCUGCAGACUGAUAAGGCCGCUAUUCAGCUUUUCUUCUUCUUCUUUUUUGGAAUCAUGAAUGGAGGCAUUUGUAAUGUCUACUCAAGUGGUAGCUCACAGCUAACAGACUAAGAGGUUUUUUUUGUUACCAAUAAAAAGAAUCCUUUCAUGA